rnacentral:rRNA from 1 species
UGGGGAAUAUUGGGCAAUGGGCGAAAGCCUGACCCAGCAACGCCGCGUGAAGGAUGAAGGUUUUCGGAUUGUAAACUUCUGUCGCGAGGGACGAAGAAUGACGGUACCUCGUAAGAAAGCCCCGGCAAACUACGUGCCAGCAGCCGCGGUAAUACGUAGGGGGCGAGCGUUGUCCGGAAUGACUGGGCGUAAAGGGAGUGUAGGCGGCUUUUUAAGUUAUAUGUGAAAUCCCACGGCUCAACCGUGGAACUGCAUAUAAAACUGGGGAGCUGGAGUGCAGGAGAGGUAAGUGGAAUUCCUAGUGUAGCGGUGGAAUGCGUAGAUAUUAGGAAGAACACCGGUGGCGAAGGCGGCUUACUGGACUGUAACUGACGCUGAGGCUCGAAAGCGUGGGGAGCAAACAGG